AACUGAUGAAAAUGGUUAUCACUUAAAAUUUUAGUUGGUAGACCCUAAACCCUGGUAUACAAAAUACAAUUUUUAAGCUCCCAAGAACCUAUCGUUAUCUUUUGAACUACGUCGAUAGUAUACGACUGUUAACCUCAGGGUUUCUGAUUUUUGUUUACUUUAGAAAAUACGUACUCAGUUUUCAUCUGUUACACUCACCCUGAGCCCGUAGUAUUGCACUUUUGCCGCGACCGGCAGUCGGCUUAUUGCCCUGCCGUUUGAACAUUGGCGCGUUCUUCAACAUGUCAGGCAAUAUCAGGAACCUGAUCUUGGAGCCUCGAAUGUAAACAUUUUCCAGUUGC